GUGGCUCAGUGGUAGAGCGUUUGCCUAGCAUGCAUGAGGCCCUGAGUUCCAUCCCUCAGC
rnacentral:tRNA from 1 species